CUGCCGACGGAGCCCUCAUCAGUUCUUGAGUAGGCUGCUCGUUGCAUAUCAUGGACGCCACGCACGAUCGCCCACCCGCGGGGUCGGCGGCUGUAUCUGUGCAUGCCGCCUUCGGUAGCUUCUCACAAGCCCGCGAGCUUACAAUGGCUCGGGAGCAACCAUUGCUCGCACUCAAGGCGUACAGCACGUGGAUGCGAAGGAGGAGGGUAGGCGCAUCGGCGCGGGCUGCGGCACUCCUGGACUUUACGCUCUACUGCAACAUGUUUGCCUUGCAGAUCUGGGAAACGGAGGAUGUCCGCCCUGACGCACCACUUGCUCUCGCUCGUGACUACUUCCAGCUUGUCAUGGACGAGUUCAGUGCGCUCUACAAAGUUGUGCUGCCCGACCUCGACGCACCAGAGACCGAUGCCGACUUGGCCUCGAUGCCUAUCUUGGAUGCGAAGACAGAUUCGGUUCCUGGCGGGCUGUGGGCGGCGCUCUUGCUCACUAUAGGCAAUCAGGCGUGCGUGGAGCUGCGUGCUGGUGGAGACGGUGUCGCGAAAGCGGAGCGGCUUUUCCUCCUUAGCAGACAGCUGGAGGGGCAGAUGAGCGACGUGCCGAGUCUCGGGUGGACGUGGAGGAUUGUCCGAGACCUCAAUGCAGCUGUUUGCGCGGUCAUGCACUGCGACUUUUCUCAAGGAGAAGAGGCUGCCCGGAGCGCCCUCGCACUCCUGGAAACGCACAUAGAAGACGAAUCCGCGGAUGCACUUUCCAGUGAAUCAGUUGAUGAGAAUGGAUACGCCCCACACACAUCCCUGCUGCUGGCCCUGACUCACUACACACUAGGUGUUGCCACAGAGAACACUUCGUGCGAGUCGUCUCUCUUAGACUACGAUCGCGCAAUCGCACUAGCCUCCGAGGGCGACACAGGCUCAUCCCUCGCGGCCUUGAUGAGUCGAGCCAGAAACCGACUCGCGGUGUAUGUAGAGGAGCGGCAGGCUAAGGCGACGCUCCAGGCAGAAGAGGCGGCAGGCGCAGCGAACGCCGAGAAGAAAGGUCGCACGGCCUCGCGACUCAAAACUGGAAAGGCGACGUCCUCUCGCCGCGCACCGCAGAAGGCUGAAAAUCCUCGCUUCUCGCAAUCGGAACAGGGCCUGCCCCCCAUCGUGACCCCGUCAAUCCCAGACGUUCUCCAAGGCUAUCUUGAGAAGGAGGGGCUAACCACCACAUUGGUACGCGUUGGCGCCUUGAAAGAUCUCUAUGAAGUAUUGGCCAGGUCGCUUCCCGGAUACGAGGACUGCGAAGCGCUUCCACAGUCCCUCUUCGCCGGAACCCGCUUCGAGGCUGGCGCCCACGAGUCUAUCUUCGCCGUCCUCUUCUGCACCGACACACCUUUGCAGUGGACGUUACGGCUCCUCGAUGCGGCAGGGAACCCUGUCGCCCUCCGCCACUCUGUGUGGGCACCACGCCCGGUGCUAGCUUCGCUGCUCAUGGAGAUGGCUGCGCAACGUCCGCCUGCACCGCGGAGCACCGCGGCCCUCCAAACCCGCAAAGAAAUUUCCGACGGUAACGGAAAGUUGCGCCAGCAAGUCAUUCAAAUGUUUGCCCCGCCGGCGGCAGCUCCAACUGUGAAGCAGAAGGCCCAUGAGUGGGUAGACGCUGCUGUGGAGCUGCUUGGACAGCGCUUGAGCCUCCUCCUCAAAACGGAGCGUGCCUUUGAGGAGCAGUGGAUCGCGACGGAGCGCAUUCAAUCCGCUUUGCACACCUUUGCCGUUCCGCAAGACAUCCUGCGUGUGAAGCAGGAACUGCUGAAGGAAAAGCAUCUGCAGGAGCGCCGGCAGGAUCGGAGUGCGCGCCUCAUCGUGCACUUUUUUCGACACAUCGUCAAGCAGCGAACCCUCGGUGCGGAGCAGACGCUCGUGAGGCGGCAUCGCUUUGAGGAGAGGGUGGCGGCCGCGGUGACUCUGCAGAAGUACAUACGUCGCUGGUGCGCCUAUCAGGAAAUGGGGCGCCGCCUUGCAGCGCGCAAAGAGUACGUCGAGAAGAUUAUCCGGUUGCAGAGUCUCGCGCGACGGAGAGCGGCGGCGCGCGCUUACGCGGAGCUGCGCGAGUCGAGGCGCAAGGAGGACCUCAUUAAAACACACCUCAUCCUCUUUUCGUGCGCCGCUCUUCAAAUUCAACGAAUGUAUCGCGGGCAUUGUGCUCGACUGCGCUGCUAUCAUCUUCGCGGACAGAUGCACGCCGCCACGCUGCAUCACAUGCGAGACUCACGUAACUACUACGCCACCGUCAUUCAGAAGUGCGUGCGUGGAAUGCUAGCGCGAUGCCAGUAUGGGCGAGCCGUGUAUGCGAGCCGCUGCUACGGCCGAAACGCCUACAAGACACAGCUUUGGGAGCGCAGCUGCGUGGUAAUUCAGCGCGCCUACCGCGCAUGCCGCUCGCGCCGCAGGCUCGCCGGCUAUAGAGCUGCACCACAGAUUUGCGGUGGCCCACAGCUAAGUGGGCCCAGCACUGCAUUUUCGAGACACUUUGUGCGUGUUCACACCGAUGGUGCAGUGACGGCGGACAAGAAGCAGGCGGUCGCAGCGAACAGGAUCCAGAAGAUGUAUCGCUCUUGUGCCGCGAAGCGGCGACUGGAAGCUCUCAAGUACGCUCGAAGGAAGGAACUGGAGGCGAGGGAGGAGCAACCGCAAUGGGGCGCGCGAUCAACCUUCUCGCUGAAAGAUUGCGUCUUUUGAGGCAUCAUUAUUCACCCAAGUCUGCCGUUUCUCGCUACCCCCACCCCACUUUUCACACAUACCUACAUACCUUCGGACAUCCGCCCUGACGGGUCUCGUAUGGGCGUGCGUGUGUAUGUGUGCGUGGCGGUGCUUCAUGUACCAUAAUCGGGAUGUAGGCGUUGUCCGUCUUUCCCUUUCACGUUUUUCUUUUCGUUUGUUCGCUGGAACAUUGGCUCCCGUACCUUUUUGUUUUAUGUUGUCGAUUGGCUUUCUUGCUUUGUGUCGUCCGUGUAGCGUGGGCAUGCUUGCGUCUGUGCACGUCAUCGACGCCCAAAAAGAAACCGCCGCAGACAACUACGAACAGAAGCGCGUAGAAAGGGGAAAGGAGUGAAGGAUCAUUAGCCGUAGUACUCAUACGUAGAUGCCACCACCCCCUCCCACACAUGCUGCUAUCGCUCAUGUGUUGUUCGGACGCGCUUUCGCACCCCACCUGCACUGGCGACGGCCGUGGACCAUUUACUGUCGCUUUUUAUGCUCUGGUGCGUCCACACGGUCCCCAUCUCCCUCUCGCUACCGCUCCAUUCUUUUGUCGCUUCCCGUGGUCGCUCGUCGCUGAUGUCGUGGGACGCCUCCGUGCGUGGUAUCGCAG
rnacentral:misc_RNA from 1 species